GCCGGCGCCUUCCCCUUUAAGUACAGGGGAAGGCUGGAUCGGACCUGCGUCCUUACAGUACCACACGUCCACUACAUAUGUCAUCAAAGAACAUGCAAAGACCCGUCGGCAUGCUGCCCUUGAGUUCCUGCUAAGCAGAGAAGAUUCCAAGGGAGUAACUACUCGGCCCCAUGGGAGUUCGUGAAAUGUGAAAUUGGAGGUCGGUGACAGCGUAAACAAUCUGAAAAUAGCUCUUGUGAAAAAUCUGCUCUGCUGUGUAGAACCCAUUUCUGCUACAGCUGGUUGAGACCUUCCAUGGAUCCCAGAUCCCUCCCACUGAGACUAGCGGGAGGUGAGAAGAAAUGUGGAUUUAGCUCUUGCACCUGACUUGGAAACACCAAAUUUGGAUACAAGUAAUUCUUUGUUGGCUUUUUUUUUUUUUUUAAUCCCAGGGUGUUUUUCUAUGCCUCUGAGAGGACAGAAAAAGAUAAGAUACUCUUACCUUUGUUUUAUUGAUGGAGAAAGCAAGGCACAGCGAAACUGUCAGCUUGACCCAUUUGGAAAAUGCUACUUGAUAAGUCAGUAACAGCACUUAGGAUUCUGGAACCUAUAGCAUGGCCCAACCACUUGCUUAUGUGCCUGACACAGUGCCUGGCACAUAACACAUAGGCGUACAAUAAAUGUUGAACGAAUGAAUAAAUGAAUGAAAUCAACUAAA